GUGUUUGUGGUGACUUAGUGAAUAAAGAGUUUCUGAUCUGAGGAGCAGCUAUGAGUUCAUCAGCCGGUGGAUUAGUCGUCUUCCUUCUCUCUGUACAAGUGAUACAGAGUCAGGACGGAUGGGGAGUGACUUACCGUCAGACUGAGGUCUGUGCUGCAAAAGGAUCAACUGUGUAUAUAAUCUGUUACUACACACACCCACCUGGAAUAGAUCACUCUGAUAUAAAGGACAGAUUCUGGUUCACUAAAGAGAAAGAUGGUGAACCUGUGGAUCUGAGAACAGACUCUGAGUAUUCAGACCGUGUGACGUACACAUGUUAUAGUGAUAGAGUGAGAUGCAUUCUGACCAUCACAAACCUGAGAGAGAGCGACUCAGCUGAGUACAAAUUCACAUUCAGGACAAACAAAGGAGAGAAAUAUACUGGUUCACCUGGAGUCACUUUGUCUGUCACAGAUUCAGGUCUCCAGGUGCAGGUGAGCAGAUCAGAUUCUACCUGGUUGGAGCUGACGUGUCACACCAGCUGUGAUCUGUCUCAUCAUCCUGGAUACGUCUGGUUAAAGAAUGAA